AUUGAACGCUGGCGGCAUGCCUUACACAUGCAAGUCGAACGGUAACAGGGAGCUUGCUCCGCUGACGAGUGGCGAACGGGUGAGUAAUGUAUCGGAACGUACCAUAGAGUGGGGGAUAACUAUCCGAAAGGAUAGCUAAUACCGCAUAUUCUCUCCGGAGGAAAGCAGGGGACCGCAAGGCCUUGCGCUCUUUGAGCGGCCGAUAUCAGAUUAGCUAGUUGGUGAGGUAAAGGCUCACCAAGGCGACGAUCUGUAGCGGGUCUGAGAGGAUGAUCCGCCACACUGGAACUGAGACACGGUCCAGACUCCUACGGGAGGCAGCAGUGGGGAAUUUUGGACAAUGGGGGCAACCCUGAUCCAGCCAUGCCGCGUGAGUGAAGAAGGCCUUCGGGUUGU
rnacentral:rRNA from 1 species